rnacentral:tRNA from 1 species
GGCACCGUAGUCAAAUGGCUAAGACACGACCCUUUCAAGGUUGUAACGGUGAGUUCAAUUCUCCCCGGUGUCA